GACGAACGCUGGCGGCGUGCCUAAUACAUGCAAGUAGAACGCUGAAGAGAGGAGCUUGCUCUUCUUGGAUGAGUUGCGAACGGGUGAGUAACGCGUAGGUAACCUGCCUUGUAGCGGGGGAUAACUAUUGGAAACGAUAGCUAAUACCGCAUAACAAUGGAUGAACCAUGUCAUUUAUUUGAAAGGGGCAAAUGCUCCACUACAAGAUGGACCUGCGUUGUAUUAGCUAGUAGGUGAGGUAACGGCUCACCUAGGCGACGAUACAUAGCCGACCUGAGAGGGUGAUCGGCCACACUGGGACGGAGACACGGCCCAGACUCCUACGGGAGGCAGCAGUAGGGAAUCUUCGGCAAUGGGGGCAACCCUGACCGAGCAACGCCGCGUGAGUGAAGAAGGUUUUCGGAUCGUAAAGCUCUGUUGUAAGUCAAGAACGAGUGUGAGAGUGGAAAGUUCACACUGUGACGGUAGCUUACCAGAAAGGGACGGCUAACUACGUG
rnacentral:rRNA from 1 species